AGGCGCGUAGCUCAGUGGUUAGAGCGCCUGCUUGACACGCAGGAGGUCGGUGGUUCGACUCCACUCGCGCCUACCA
rnacentral:tRNA from 1 species